AAGGCUUGUGCUGUAGGCAUUAGGCAUGAUGGGUAAACACUUCAUCAACCUCUCUUCUCACCCUGGUGCACCCAUCUCUCUGGAACAAGGUCAAUCUGAACUCAUCAGACCACAUGACCUAUAGUAGUUAUUCAGCAGAA